GGAAAAGGAGUCAUUAUGAUGUUGAGCUGAAAUUGGUUAGGCAAUUAUAGAGUUGCUAUAAUGGAUUCUUGGUAGUUAAACCUCAUUGAUGUAUAAAUUAACUCUUCAGAUAUUUGUGAAUGAUAUCUACGUUCAUCUCUGUCUUCCUUGGUCUUUGUUUAGAUUUUAAUUGUGCAAAGGAAAUGAUGAGAAAUUAAAAAGGG
rnacentral:misc_RNA from 1 species